AUGCAGGUGAAGAGUCCCAAAUAGAACGAAACGCGUGUUGUCCUGAAU
rnacentral:hammerhead_ribozyme from 1 species